CUGGAUGAAGGCCCCGGAUGAGGUGUGGGAACCAGCUAGGUUAGCUCGCAGGGCUUUUUUCCUCCUACCCUGCCAACCCUGCUCGGCCACCUUUGUGACCAGAAUACCUGUAAUGACUGACAGCCCCGGCCUUGGGAAGGCUGCCCCGCUGGCCCUUCCUUGCUUCAGCCAGUCUUCGAGACUCCCUGCGGGAAAGUGGGCAGCACACAUGAAUAUCGGGAGUGUCACCAGGAUAAAGAAACUCUUUGUUCAGAGAGAGAGAGAACGUUUCAGUGCAAGUCAGUGCUAAAGAGGAUUAUAAAAACCAAUCUCAUAAAACAUCUAGGACAGAAAGGACAGUCCUGCAAAUGUACCCUAUUUGGAUCAAGUGAGCCAGUUCCUUGAACCUGAAUAAUAACUGCUGAGUGAAGGGGUACUGACUAUCUGUCCCCCCAGGCUGCCCAGGAGAUAAAAACACAGCCAUCAUGAAAGUGGAGGAGGAAGAUGAAAAGGAUGGGGAAGACCAUUUCAAAAAGAAUGAGGAUGAAAAACAAAGAAAUGGGCUCAGCAGUGCUCCCGACACACAUGUAGCCCCUGUGACCCUGACUGGGAUGAACUCACGGACAAGCAACACACCCAUCAUGUUGAAAACAGUCUUUGUGAAACUUUGGCUUUGUACAUUUUUUGGCAUUUUGUAUAUUGUAUUUAAAUAUUAAUAAAAGUUACACUUGGAAUUUA